rnacentral:rRNA from 1 species
GACGAACGCUGGCGGCGUGCCUAAUACAUGCAAGUAGAACGCUGAAGAGAGGAGCUUGCUCUUCUUGGAUGAGUUGCGAACGGGUGAGUAACGCGUAGGUAACCUGCCUUGUAGCGGGGGAUAACUAUUGGAAACGAUAGCUAAUACCGCAUAACAAUGGAUGACACAUGUCAUUUAUUUGAAAGGGGCAAUUGCUCCACUACAAGAUGGACCUGCGUUGUAUUAGCUAGUAGGUGAGGUAACGGCUCACCUAGGCGACGAUACAUAGCCGACCUGAGAGGGUGAUCGGCCACACUGGGACUGAGACACGGCCCAGACUCCUACGGGAGGCAGCAGUAGGGAAUCUUCGGCAAUGGGGGCAACCCUGACCGAGCAACGCCGCGUGAGUGAAGAAGGUUUUCGGAUCGUAAAGCUCUGUUGUAAGUCAAGAACGAGUGUGAGAGUGGAAAGUUCGCACUGUGACGGUAGCUUACCAGAAAGGGACGGCUAACUACGUG